UACGUAGGGUGCAAGCGUUGUCCGGAAUUAUUGGGCGUAAAGAGCUUGUAGGCGGUUUGUCGCGUCUGCUGUGAAAUUUCGGGGCUCAACCCCGAACUUGCAGUGGGUACGGGCAGACUAGAGUGUGGUAGGGGAGACUGGAAUUCCUGGUGUAGCGGUGAAAUGCGCAGAUAUCAGGAGGAACACCGAUGGCGAAGGCGGGUCUCUGGGCAACUACUGACGCUGAGGAGCGAAAGCGUGGGGAGCGAACAGG
rnacentral:rRNA from 1 species